rnacentral:lncRNA from 1 species
GGGAGGCAAAGGCUGUUCCCCAUGACACCAGCAGUCCAUUCUCUGGACAUUCUAUUGUAUCCUGGAGAGCUCCUGGCAUCCCCUGUGAUGUCACCAGUGUUGUGGCAACAACAACUGCUCUUAGAGCAUUCCAUCAGUACUUCAGAGUUCAUCUCGAAUCAUGUUUUCAAUGCUGAGGAGCAGAGUAAGGUAGAAGGAAGCUGGACCUCCAUCUCAGUGCAAUCCAGCAAGGAAGAAGUGGUUCUGGGAAGACCCGGCCAACUACAUUUUAUGAGAAAUUGCAUUUGCAACAUAAGACACCAUGUCACAGCUGCAGACCUGAACAGGAAAACCACUGAGGCCUCCAAGAACUUGAAGAUGCUUGAGGAGGAGAUUGGCUUCUAUCGCAACCUGCACAGCCAGCUGAGGAUGGCCCAGGCUCAGCUGAAGAACAAGGUGAAUAUGCUGAAGCAGGAAAAUAGGAGAAUUUGGGGGCGAUGUGCCACACUGCAGCAGAACUUGGAGGAAUUGAAAAUGAUCUAUAAGAAUCAACUGGAGGACACCAGUGACCCCCAGACCCAGCAGCAGCAGGAUCCAGAAAGAACGGAGGAAUUGCUGCAGGACAGUCACAAGCAGAAGAAGCUGGGCAUCCAAGAGAAGAA